rnacentral:rRNA from 1 species
UAUACCGGAUAUUGAGCCGCUUGGGCAUCCAAGUGGUUUGAAAGCUCUGGCGGUGCAGGAUGAGCCCGCGGCCUAUCAGCUUGUUGGUGAGGUAAUGGCUCACCAAGGCGACGACGGGUAGCCGGCCUGAGAGGGCGACCGGCCACACUGGGAGUGAGACACGGCCCAGACUCUUACGGGAGGCAGCAGUGGGGAAUAUUGCACAAUGGGCGAAAGCCUGAUGCAGCGACGCCGCGUGAGGGAUGACGGCCUUCGGGUUGUAAACCUCUUUCAGCAGGGAAGAAGCGAAAGUGACGGUACCUGCAGAAGAAGCGCCGGCUAACUACGUGCCAGCAGCCGCGGUAAUACGUAGGGCGCCAGCGUUGUCCGGAAUUAUUGGGCGUAAAGAGCUCGUAGGCGGCUUGUCACGUCGGUUGUGAAAGCCCGGGGCUUAACCCCGGGUCUGCAGUCGAUACGGGCAGGCUAGAGUUCGGUAGGGGAGAUCGGAAUUCCUGGUGUAGCGGUGAAAUGCGCAGAUAUCAGGAGGAACACCGGUGGCGAAGGCGGAUCUCUGGGCCGAUACUGACGCUGAGGAGCGAAAGCGUGGGGAGCGAACAGGAUUAGAUACCCUGGUAGUCCACGCCGUAAACGGUGGGCACUAGGUGUGGGCAACAUUCCACGUUGUCCGUGCCGCAGCUAACGC